AUACAGAGGGUGCAAGCGUUAAUCGGAUUUACUGGGCGUAAAGCGCGCGUAGGCGGUAUAUCAAGUUAGGCGUGAAAGCCCCGGGCUCAACCCGGGAACUGCGCUUAUUACUGAUAAACUAGAGUCCGGGAGAGGGUGGCGGAAUUCCCAGUGUAGAGGUGAAAUUCGUAGAUAUUGGGAAGAACACCAGUUGCGAAGGCGGCCACCUGGACCGGUACUGACGCUGAGGUGCGAAAGCGUGGGGAGCAAACAGGAUUAGAAACCCCUGUAGUCC
rnacentral:rRNA from 1 species